AACAGUCACACGGCAUAAACAACACGUGAGUGUGGUGGCGUAGGUGCACGUGUGUAGUGUACUGAGCGCACGUACAGUGGUAUCCGUUUAUUUUCCCGACUUUGUCAAGACAGGAUAGAGGCUUGAGCUUUGAACAGUGUUUGACUGGACCAACGAGCCACAUCUGUGGACAAUACACACCCAGGAUUUUGGACAGUGAUGCAGCGAGCAUGAGCAGUGAGGCCUAAGGGUUGGCACAGUGAUUGAACGUUAGAAAACACAGGUUGUUUGCAACACCAUUAUCAGCCACGGUGAAUCAGAACUGCCGGUUCCCAUCUCUUUGCAUGGGUGCCUGUACCUUUAUGGGUGAAGCCAGCAUGGCACCAGUCAUUUGCCAAAUUUAGAACCACACAGAGGAAGAGGGUCGGGUGAUGAUAUGCAGAGCCAUUUACUUUGGAGCAUCAGGUUCGAUGAGAAGGGGGACUCCAAGAGCAAAUGCAACGUCCUGACCUUUGCCUCAGAUUCCAUCUUCACACAUGCCAAACACCUUUGUCAGUGGAUGGACUUUGAGAUGCAAGGUGACAUGCUUUGCUAUACAUCCGUACCUGAUUGCAGCAUCAAUGACUGGAAGGUUUAGCGCAUCAUCCUCAAACUACUGCUAACAAAGCUUCAACUUCAACUUAGCCUCAACAAAUUAAUCACCAGCUUGAUAAUGAGAUGGCAAUGAUGCAUUCCUAGGCAACCAGAAACUAGUCAGCUAGAACUACCCAAAGAAAGGCUGUGUAAUAGACCCCUUGCAGCUGGUACUUCUCAGUGAUGGUUCCUUUAACAAUUAAGGCAGGGCAGUGCUGCAGGGCAGUGCAGUACUUCCAAUCCCUCUGAUUGUUUGACAGCUAUUUCCUGAAAUACAAAAACACUGUAAUACAUGUAAUUGAUGACUUUUGAGACACUUGGAAACUGUAAACAGCUGCUAUUUUGGUCCUUUUUUCUUGUUUGCAUCACGUUUGGGCUAAAUGCAUGCAUGCUCCAAAUGAAACAACAAAAACAACAUAAAAAUAAAGAAGGAAAAGGAACCAUUGUGUUUGCCACCUCCAAGCUCCUCAGAAGUCUUCAAGUAGUAAAGUCAGAAAUCUCGGGUUUUCAAAAAUGUGUUCUUUGCAAUUAGGCUAAAGGGUCUUUGCAAUGCAGGUUUUUCAACACAACCCUUGAAAACGUAUCUUUUUGAUUCAGUGAACCUUAUUAUCAAAGCCUUACAUGUAUUUUCAAAUUUG
rnacentral:lncRNA from 1 species